GGUGGGGUUGUGGCCUACCAAGGCGACGACGGGUAGCCGGCCUGAGAGGGUGACCGGCCACACUGGGACUGAGACACGGCCCAGACUCCUACGGGAGGCAGCAGUGGGGAAUCUUGCGCAAUGGGCGAAAGCCUGACGCAGCGACGCCGCGUGGGGGACGAAGGCCUUCGGGUUGUAAACCUCUUUCAGCAGGGAAGAAGCGAGAGUGACGGUACCUGCAGAAGAAGCACCGGCUAACUACGUGCCAGCAGCCGCGGUAAUACGUAGGGUGCAAGCGUUGUCCGGAAUUAUUGGGCGUAAAGAGCUCGUAGGUGGCGGGUCACGUCGGGUGUGAAAGCCCGGGGCUUAACCCCGGGUCUGCAUUCGAUACGGGCUUGCUAGGGUCCGGCAGGGGAGACUGGAAUUCCUGGUGUAGCGGUGAAAUGCGCAGAUAUCAGGAGGAACACCGGUGGCGAAGGCGGGUCUCUGGGCCGGUACCGACGCUGAGGAGCGAAAGCGUGGGGAGCGAACAGGAUUAGAUACCCUGGUAGUCCACGCCGUAAACGUUGGGCGCUAGGUGUGGGGAGCAUUCCACGUUCUCUGUGCCGUAGCUAACGCAUUAA
rnacentral:rRNA from 1 species